GCCUGGGUGGCUCAGUCGGUUAAGCAUCUGACUUCAGUUCAGGUCAUGAUCUCACUGUAUGUGAGUUCAAGGCCCACAUCAGGCU
rnacentral:tRNA from 1 species